UACGGGGGGGGCAAGCGUUGUUCGGAAUCACUGGGCGUAAAGGGCGCGUAGGCGGCUGAAUAAGUGGGAUGUUAAAUCCCCGGGCUCAACCCGGGACCUGCAUCUCAUACUGUUCAGCUCGAGCACAUCAGAGGAGACUGGAAUUCCCGGUGUAGCGGUGGAAUGCGUAGAUAUCCGAAAGAACACCGGUGGCGAAGGCGGCGACCUGGGCCUGAACUGACGCUGAGGAGCGAAAGCUAGGGGAGCAAACGGG
rnacentral:rRNA from 1 species